CGUGUAGGCGGUUAGGCAAGUCAGGUGUGAAAUCCCUUGGCUCAACCAAGGAAAUGCGCUUGAAACUGCUUAACUAGAGUACAGGAGGGGAAAGUGGAAUUCCCAGUGUAGAGGUGAAAUUCAUAGAUAUUGGGAGGAACACCGGUAGCGAAGGCGGCUUUCUGGCCUGAUACUGACGCUGAGACGCGAAAGCGUGGGGAGCAAACA
rnacentral:rRNA from 1 species